GCCCCCGUUGUCUAAUGGCUAUGACGUCAGACUUCUACCAGUCAGUGACCGGGGCAUCUGGAGGUUGCGGGUUCGAGUCCCGCCGGGGGUA